rnacentral:rRNA from 1 species
CACGUAGGGGACGAGCGUUGUCCGGAUUCAUUGGGCGUAAAGCGCGCGUAGGCGGCUCGGAAAGUCGGUUGUGAAACCCCGGGGCUCAACCCCGGGACUGCAUCCGAUACUUCCGGGCUGGAGGCAGGUAGGGGAGAUCGGAAUUCCUGGUGUAGCGGUGAAAUGCGCAGAUAUCAGGAGGAACACCGGUGGCGAAGGCGGAUCUCUGGGCCUUGCCUGACGCUGAGGCGCGAAAGCUAGGGGAGCGAACAGGAUUAGAAACCCCCGUAGUCC